UUUAGCAUCUCCCCAAAUUCCAUCCCUGAGUGAAGAUUAGAAGACUUAAUUUGGAGUAGAGGACAGCAACUGGAAGGAAGGUGGAAAGUUUGAACAUGAUGAAGGGACUGAAAAAUUUCCCAAGAUGGCCGAAUAGAAACAGCUCCAGUCUACAGCUCCCAGCGUGAGCGACGCAGAAGACGGGUGAUUUCUGCAUUUCCAACUGAGGUACCGGGUUCAUCUCACUAGGGAGUGCCAGACAGUGGGCGCAGGGCCUUGCAAAGAAACUGGAUAAGAGAGCAGACAACUUUUGGUGGAUAAUACAACAUCCUUGGUGAUUACUGGCAUCCAUGAUCCAGGAAGUCCCCUGGAAAAUUCAGGUAUUCAAAAUCACCUUAAAAAGGACAUACAAGGAGCAAGCAGAGAAAUAUGAUACUGGAGAAGACCAUUCUCCCAGGUGACAGAGAAUACAAGGUUCAUCCCAAAGGAUAAGAACAUGGCUGCAAAAGGAACCACUUCCAGAGGAGUCAAAGAAGAUUCAGGGCUACCUGUGCAGGUCUGUUACAUGAGUAAAUUCCGAGUCACUGAG